rnacentral:rRNA from 1 species
GAUGAACGCUGGCGGCGUGCCUAAUACAUGCCAGUCGAGCGAACAGACGAGGAGCUUGCUCCUCUGACGUUAGCGGCGGACGGGUGAGUAACACGUGGAUAACCUACCUAUAAGACUGGGAUAACUUCGGGAAACCGGAGCUAAUACCGGAUAAUAUAUUGAACCGCAUGGUUCAAUAGUGAAAGACGGUUUUGCUGUCACUUAUAGAUGGAUCCGCGCCGCAUUAGCUAGUUGGUAAGGUAACGGCUUACCAAGGCGACGAUGCGUAGCCGACCUGAGAGGGUGAUUGGCCACACUGGAACUGAGACACGGUCCAGACUCCUACGGGAGGCAGCAGUAGGGAAUCUUCCGCAAUGGGCGAAAGCCUGACGGAGCAACGCCGCGUGAGUGAUGAAGGUCUUCGGAUCGUAAAACUCUGUUAUUAGGGAAGAACAAAUGUGUAAGUAACUAUGCACGUCUUGACGGUACCUAAUCAGAAAGCCACGGCUAACUACGUG